UGGGGAAUCUUCCGCAAUGGACGAAAGUCUGACGGAGCAACGCCGCGUGAGUGAUGACGGCCUUCGGGUUGUAAAGCUCUGUUAAUCGGGACGAAUGGUUCUUGUGCGAAUAGUGCGAGGAUUUGACGGUACCGGAAUAGAAAGCCACGGCUAACUACGUGCCAGCAGCCGCGGUAAUACGUAGGUGGCAAGCGUUGUCCGGAAUUAUUGGGCGUAAAGCGCGCGCAGGCGGAUUGGUCAGUCUGUCUUAAAAGUUCGGGGCUUAACCCCGUGAUGGGAUGGAAACUGCCAAGCUAGAGUAUCGGAGAGGAAAGUGGAAUUCCUAGUGUAGCGGUGAAAUGCGUAGAUAUGAGGAAGAACACCAGUGGCGAAGGCGACUUUCUGGACGAAAACUGACGCUGAGGCGCGAAAGCCAGGGGAGCGAACGGG
rnacentral:rRNA from 1 species